AGAACGAACGCUGGCGGCAGGCCUAACACAUGCAAGUCGAACGCGAUCUUCGGAUCGAGUGGCGCACGGGUGAGUAACGCGUGGGAAUCUGCCCUAUGGUACGGAAUAACAUCGGGAAACUGGUGCUAAUACCGUAUAUCCCCUGAGGGGGAAAGAUUUAUCGCCAUGGGAGGAGCCCGCGUAGGAUUAGCUAGUUGGUGAGGUAACGGCUCACCAAGGCGACGAUCCUUAGCUGGUCUGAGAGGAUGAUCAGCCACACUGGGACUGAGAUACGGCCCAGACUCCUACGGGAGGCAGCAGUGGGGAAUAUUGGACAAUGGGCGCAAGCCUGAUCCAGCCAUGCCGCGUGAGUGAUGAAGGCCUUAGGGUUGUAAAGCUCUUUCGGCGGGAAGAUAAUGACGGUACCGCAGAAGAAGCCCGGCUAACUUCGUGCCAGCAGCCGC
rnacentral:rRNA from 1 species